UUUUAUGCCGGACGUGGAUCACUCCAACCAAGGUCAAUAUCGAUGUGAGGUCAGCAACGCGCACGGAAGUGACGUCAUUGUAUUCCAUGUUAACGUCAUAGAUCGGAUUCUAACACUGGAUCCAAACAACCUAGGCAGGCCGGGAAUCAUGAUACACACCGGAAAUGCCGCCGAAGCUUCUUCUAACGAGGGCCACUAUAACAUCAAUGACAACAACAACGCGCUUACACUAAUGCUGGCGGGUCUUGUUUUAUUUAAUGUGCUAGAAUGACUUUUAACACUAAAAAUAUACAUUUCAAAUCAUAGCGAAACGACAUAUCAAUUUAAUUCUUCAGUUAAACCAGAAAACACAACCUCUAAAAGUGUGUUCAACUGUUGUUAACAAAUCAUAAAUGACAACUAAUGAAACUAGCGAAACAUAACACAUCCAUUUAAUGUUAUUAAUUUGACGUGCAUCAUUUCCAAUGGGUAUAUUGACGAAACAUGCAAGGACGGUAUGUGUUUGCAGAAAUACUUAGUAAACGAUCACUUAAUUGUAUUAAUAAUUUU